rnacentral:rRNA from 1 species
AUGGCCGGUGGUAAAGGAGUGCAGCAACGCACCACCUCGGGUGGUUCCCAGUCGCCGGCUCCGGAGGAGCGGCGAGGGCGCAGCCGCUCCAGGCGCGGCCAUCGCGGUGAGGUCGUGGUUAGGGAGAUCGUGCGCGAGACCGCAAUCUGCGGUAGCGUGCCCAUCACCUUCCCGAUGCUCACGCGCUCAAACUACAGUGAGUGGGCGUUGAUCAUGGAGUGCAACCUUCAUGCGGCGAGCCUCUGGGCUCCCAUGGAGGAUGACCUGAUCGAGAGAAAGGAGGACAGGAAAGCCGUGGCAGCCCUCAUGCGCGCCACGCCGCCGGAGAUGCACGGCAUGCUCGCGGCGAAGGCAAGCGCCAAGGAGGUGUGGGAAGCCAUCCAUACCCAGCGCCUCGGCAGCAACCGCGUGCGCGAGGCGAACGCGCAGAAGCUGCGGGCGGACUUCGAGAACAUCGCCUUCAAGGAGGGCGAGCUCGUCGACGAAUUCGCCAUGCGGAUCUCCAGCCUUGCGUCACAGCUCCGCGCGCUCGGCGACACCAUGGACGACGCGAGAGUCGUGCGGAAAUUUCUCCGCGUCGUGCCAUCUCGCUUCGCUCAGGUAGCGGUCUCCAUCGAGACCUUGCUUGAUCUGAGUGAGCUCUCCGUCGAGGAGCUCACGGGCCGGUUGCGGGUGGUCGAGGACCGUCUUGACGACGGCCGCGAGAGCUUCGGCGGCGGACAACUCCUAUUCUCAAAGAAGUGGGAGGCGAGGAAGCGUCAAGGACGUGGUGGUGGUGCCCAGAGCGGCAGAGACGGCGGUCGCACCCAGGGUGGAGCCUGA